CCUACGGGAGGCAGCAGUGGGGAAUAUUUGGCAAUGGAGGAAACUCUGACCCAGCAACGCCGCGUGAAUGAUGAGGGUCUUCGGAUUGUAAAGUUCUUUUCUAAGGGAAGCAGAAAGUGACGGUACCUUAGGAAUAAGACUCGUCUAACUACGUGCCAGCAGCCGCGGUAAGACGUAGGGGGCAAGCGUUAUCCGGAUUUAGUGGGUGUAAAGGGUGCGUAGGCGGGUUAUCAAGUCAGCGGUAAAAUCGUGGAGCUCAACUCCAUCCAGCCGUUGAAACUGAUGAUCGUGAGUGGGCGAGAAGUAUGCGGAAUGCGUGGUGUAGCGGUGAAAUGCAUAGAGAUCACGCAGAACUCCGAUUGCGAAGGCAGCAUACCGGCGCCCGACUGACGCUGAAGCACGAAAGCGUGGGUAUCGAACAGGAUUAGAUACCCGUGUAGUC
rnacentral:rRNA from 1 species